rnacentral:rRNA from 1 species
CCUACGGGAGGCUGCAGUCGAGAAUCAUUCACAAUGGGGGAAACCCUGAUGGUGCGACGCCGCGUGGGGGAAUGAAGGUCUUCGGAUUGUAAACCCCUGUCAUGUGGGAGCAAAUUAAAAAGAUAGUACCACAAGAGGAAGAGACGGCUAACUCGGUGCCAGCAGCCGCGGUAAUACAGAGGUCUCAAGCGUUGUUCGGAAUCACUGGGCGUAAAGCGUGCGUAGGCGGUUUCGUAAGUCGGGUGUGAAAGGCGCGGGCUCAACCCGCGGACGGCACAUGAUACUGCGAGACUAGAGUUAUGGAGGGGGAGCCGGAAUUCUCGGUGUAGCAGUGAAAUGCGUAGAUAUCGAGAGGAACACUCGUGGCGAAGGCGGGUUCCUGGACAUUAACUGACGCUGAGGCACGAAGGCCAGGGGAGCGAAAGGGAUUAGAUACCCUUGUAGUC